rnacentral:lncRNA from 1 species
GCAAUCUCUGCCUGCUCCAAAGGGCGCACGGAAGACGAAUCGCGGCGCAGGAGGGCAGGCGAAGCUUCGGGUCAGGUUCGCCUUGCCCACUGGUGGCAAAGGUGUGAGAAGGAGGUAACUAUCUUACAGACAGAGCAAGAAAAGUAAAUUCACUUGGCUGUUCCAUAUCUCUGAGGAACCUGAUGCAUGAGUGGACUAGAGAAGAGAAAGACAGAAAAACUCCAAAGACCUACAGAUCAUCUGGCUGGCAGGCUGUCAGGCCAUUUGGAGACUUAUUGAUCCUCGCCACAAUAGAACAGUGACACCUGAGCAACAGCAAACUGCUUUUGAAUGUUUUCUGAUGUACUGCUGGCAUUAAUGCUAUUCAGGUUAGCACUUGGGCCAGAUAUGUUGUUUUCUUUCACUUGCUGU